UCCUGCGGCGAAGAUGUAACGGGGCUCAAGCCACGAGCCGAAGCUCAGGAUGCACAGCGAUGUGCGUGGUAGCGGAGCGUUCUGUGAUAUAGCUCAUCAUGUCUUAUCUGCAGCGAUGCGGAGACGGACAUGGAGAGCUUUCUGUGAAGCCGGGCUGUAAGGCAUCCGGUGGAGAGAUCAGAAGCGAGAAUGUUGACAUGAGUAGCGACAAACAGGGUGAGAAACCCUGUCGCCGAAAGUCCAAGGGUUCCUGCUUAAAGCUAAUCUGAGCAGGGUAAGCCGGCCCCUAAGGCGAGGCCGAAAGGCGUAGUCGAUGGGAACCACGUUAAUAUUCGUGGGCCAGGGGGAAGUGACGGAUCUCAAAGAUUGUCUGCCCUUAUCGGAUUGGGUGGGCCGUUCAGAGGUUCCAGGAAAUAGCCCUCCACCAGACCGUACCCUAAACCGACACAGGUGGACUGGUAGAGUAUACCAAGGCGCUUGAGAGAACCACGUUAAAGGAACUCGGCAAAAUGCCUCCGUAAGUUCGCGAGAAGGAGGCCCCAUAUGUGCGCAAGCAUGUGUGGGGGGCACAAACUAGGGGGUGGCGACUGUUUACUUAAAACACAGGGCUGUGCGAAGCCGUAAGGCGACGUAUACAGUCUGACGCCUGCCCGGUGCUGGAAGAUUAAGAGGAGGGGUGCAAGCUCUGAAUUGAAGUCCCAGUAAACGGCGGCCGUAACUAUAACGGUCCUAAGGUAGCGAAAUUCCUUGUCGGGUAAGUUCCGACCUGCACGAAUGGCGUAACGAUCUCCCCGCUGUCUCUAACGUGGACUCAGCGAAAUUGAACUGUCUGUCAAGAUGCAGACUACCCGCGGUUAGACGGAAAGACCCCAUGAACCUUUACUCCAGCUUUGCAUUGGCAACAGGACUGUGAUGUGCAGGAUAGGUGGUAGGCAUUGAAGCGGGGACGCCAGUCUUCGUGGAGCCUCCCUUGAGAUACCACCCUUCGCCAUCUUGAUAUCUAACCGCGGCCCGUUAUCCGGGUCCGGGACCCUGCAUGGUGGGGAGUUUGACUGGGGCGGUCGCCUCCCAAAUUGUAACGGAGGCGCGCGAUGGUUGGCUCAGACCGGUCGGAAAUCGGUCGUUGAGUGCAAUGGCAGAAGCCAGCCUGACUGCAAGACUGACAAGUCGAGCAGAGACGAAAGUCGGUCAUAGUGAUCCGGUGGUCCCAAGUGGGAGGGCCAUCGCUCAACGGAUAAAAGGUACUCUGGGGAUAACAGGCUGAUGAUGCCCAAGAGUCCAUAUCGACGGCAUCGUUUGGCACCUCGAUGUCGGCUCAUCUCAUCCUGGGGCUGGAGCAGGUCCCAAGGGUAUGGCUGUUCGCCAUUUAAAGAGGUACGUGAGCUGGGUUUAGAACGUCGUGAGACAGUUCGGUCCCUAUCUGCCGUGGGUGCAGGAGACUUGAGAAGAGUUGACCCUAGUACGAGAGGACCGGGUUGAACGAACCACUGGUGGACCAGUUAUCGUGCCAACGGUAGUGCUGGGUAGCUAUGUUCGGACAGGAUAACCGCUGAAGGCAUCUAAGCGGGAAGCCCCCUUCAAAACAAGGUCUCCCUUGAGGGCCGUGGAAGACCACCACGUCGAUAGGCCAGAGGUGUAAGUGCAGCAAUGCAUUCAGCUGACUGGUACUAAUUGCCCGAUUGGCUUGAUC
rnacentral:rRNA from 1 species